GUUCGCGGAGGAGGAGAGAUACGAGCUGGUUUUGUAAAACAAAAAAUCCAGGAGAAGACAAAGAACGCAGACUGCAGAGUGAAGUGCGCCAUGAAGGAGGAAAGUGCGGACCAGAGCGUGGACACCAGAGGUGUUUCCUCUAUCGUUUGGCAAUCUAGUCAGUGUUUGGAUGCAGCUGGUCUGCGGACAUUCCAAUAUUAGCGAUAGCACGAAGGAGAGCCCGUGAAUCUGAAGACAGGGAAGCCUAGCGCUGACUCAUGAAGAUUUGGAAGCUAGGCCAAUAAGACUUGGACUGGAGAGCUAAGGAGAGUAAAAGGAAUGGUCUCAAUUUACAAUCGUUCAACCUUAAAACUAGGUGAGUGGAUGAAACCGGCUUCCCUUUGACCCUUGACUACAGGUGAGUAGCUGACCCCGCUGUCCCCUCCUUGUUCACCUGGCUGCUUGCGCUGUAGGCUACAGGAGACGUGGUCACACUUGUUCCUUCUCAUUUUCAGCUGACUGAUGAAGCCGCCAGAGGGGAGAAGAAAGAGAGGGGAGGCCAGGAGCCAAGUCCCUGUUACUUAGUCUUCAUGUUUGCUUAAACUCUUGUCCCAAGGCUUGUCGCGUUUGUGUUUGAAGUCUCAUUUGUCUUGUUUCUUGUUCAGGUACAAAGGGUAGCUCUAAACAAAUAUUGGAGCCUUGUGAAGAAAUUCCCCUUAUAGAAGCAUUUCCCUAUAAAAAUAUUGCAUGUUUUCUCUCAUCUGUAGUACCUAGAUUUUAUAUAGGCAUAAAAUCAUAUAUGUAUCUAGGAUACAAAAUUAGAAGCAAAACUGUCUAGGAGAACAAAGGAAACUAAUGGGAGGGGGCAGUGGGAAGAAAAGAGAACAAAAGGAAGUGCAGGAAUAUGCAUAGCAUAAAAGACAUACGCAUAUGGAAAUACCCGUAUGUAGUACAGUGUUGUACAAUAAGUACAUACUAUGGCUUUUAAAACCAAAUCCAUCUACUCAUAAAAGAGAAAACAUUGAUAGUGUGCAGCAUGCAGGUCCAGCAGGAUAAAAGAGUGGUCAAAUUAAAUAAUUUUAUAUAAUGUAUGGCAAUUUUUUCUUGGGAUUAAGAAAUUCCAGCUCUUCUUCUGAACACCACUGACUGGGAAGGUAGCUGAGCUACGUGGGACCAACAGCUUCUUGUGAUAUCAUGGUGGGCAACUUGACCGAUGAAGAAAUUUCUCACUGAGUGGUGGCUAGCUGCAGCCAUCAGCUUGUCUUUGUGGAAAUACAGUUAAAAGCAAUAACAGCCGCCUUUGCCCCCUGCCACGUUGCCUGCACCACGGUGAGGAAGAUGGUGGAAUGAGGGGGAGGAAGAAAUGAUGAGGGGAUGCAGAGAUGCUGCCUUGCCCCGAGUCUUCCAGUUCUGUUGCUAGAGGGAAAAAAUAUUGACAUGACCCAGAAGGUCUUGCCUCGGGGAGUCCAGCAAGUGAAAAUUGAUGGAUGUUCACUACUAAAUCCCUUUCCUUUGGGGAUGCUAUCAUGUCACAUUUCUGAAAAUAUAGGAUGCGCUCUGGAUAAUAUUUUCACAUAUGCUGAUGAAGGCAGCUGCCAAGAAUAGCAUGCUUUAAAGCAAGAAGCCAGGGGAUGUUGAGGCUGCCUCUCAACAGAAUUUGUGAGCUCUUGGUCAUCCUCCAUUCCUUCAGGGAUGUUCUGUGUUUUACCUGCUUCCCUCUGUUGCAUCCUUCCAUCGACCCUCCUUCAGAAAGUGAUGACUGCCAAUGACAAAAGCUUAGUUUUUAACUUUGUGAGGGUUAGAGAUGGCAGAUAAUAAAACUGCUCCGUUUUGAAUGAACAAACACAUACACACACACACAGAGAGAGAGAGAGAGAGAGAGAGAGAGAGAGAGAGAGAGAGAGAGAGAGAGAACCAAGCCAAACUGAAAGGCAAUUUAAGAUAUAGGAACCAAAGUCAUCCAUACUUUAUCCACCAGAAAAAAUUUCAAAUCUCUAAUUUAUUUCACCCAUCAGUGAAAUCUUUCGGAAUUCUACCUUCUAAAUUUUGCAGAAAAAAACGGAGCCAAUGUGGCCGUGCUGCCCUAGUCUGCUUUUCUAUCACUGUCAUAAAUUAUGUGAUCAAAAGAACCUUGGGGGUGGAAUGUCUUUAUGUUGUCUUUACUUCCAGGUCAAACUCAUUCCUGAGGAAGUCAGGGAAAGAGCUCUAGCAGGAACUGGAGCAUGAGCUGUGAUGUCAUGGGUGUUGACUGCGCUCCUCCCCGCAUCUGACUCCUGCUCAGAAGGGUUUUAAAUAUAGCCUAUGCCCACCUUUCUAGAGAUGGCGCCACCUACAGUGGGCUGGGUCCUCUGGCACCAAUGAAAGUCAAGACUAAGACUAAUCCUUCACAGACAUACCCACAAACCUCCAUCACUUACAGUUCCCUCUUCCCAGGUGACUUUGGAUUGUGUUAAAUUGACAAUGAAACCUAAUUAAGGGAGUUGCUAUUAUCAUUUAUUAAGCAUUCAAAGCAAUCAACGGAAUAUUUAUAUUUCACUUAAUUAUUUCUUUAUUCUUACAUAGUUGGUUAUAGAUAAAUAGAAUCAGUCAGAGGUACAACUGCAAACCCUCUUUGUUAUCCCUUGGCCUUUUUCUUUUGAUCACUCUGUGAGGAACACACUUAAGAAUAUUGGAUAUUAAUUGUUCACAGUAUUAAAACUUCGGCUAAGUUACCAUCCCAAAGAGAUUUAGCAAGUAGCCCUACAGAGACCAGUAUCUGCACUUUAAUGUGGCACAGCAUUCUUUCUUGAGGGCUUCUGAAAGACUUUCACAGGUAUAACGAGUGAUUGUGGAAAUUCAGCCCCUGUCAGUCUGAGACAAUACCAAUGGAGAACACUUGAAAAGCCUUCUGGAACCAGCUGCUCUUCUUUCUGCAUUUCUGUCUCCCACUAUAACACUUCCUCUGCCAUCUCCUGCCCCUCUUUCUCUUCUUCCUCCUCCUCCUGCUACUCCUCCUCUUUCCCUUCCUCCUGUUUCUCCUCCUCCUCUUGAGACAGGAUGUCUCUAUAUAACCUAAGAGGGCCUGAAACUUGCUAUGUAGCCCAGGCUAGCCUCAAACUCAGGAUCUUUUUGCUAUAUUUAUUAGCAUGGCAUGUUCCUCUGCCCUUCUUCUUCCUAGCAUUCUCCUAGCCUGGCUCUUUUAUCCAAUCUCUUCCUGCCCAGCUAUGGGCCAGCCAGCUUCUUUAUUAAAGCAAUCACAUCAGCAUACAUUCAGACAGUGAAAAGGAAUACUCCACAGCAACAGAAACAUAGGACAUCAUAAAUGAAUCUUUAUAUACAUGCCUACAUACAUACACACAUACAUAAAAUAGUUAUUUAUUUUCAUAGAGUUUUCCCUCUAAGGUAACUUAAUCGUAGGCUAACCUGCAAUGUCAUGUGGAAUAGGGUGGCUUCAAACUCACAGAAAUCCAUCUGCCUCUGCCUUCCAGUUCCUGGGAUUAAGUGUGUACCACUGUUUCUAGCUGUCAUAAUAAUUUUUUAAAUGUCAGAAUAUGUCAGUAUGUUGCAUGUCUUUCUCUUUAUCCAUGGAAAAUGUGAAAGUCUGGUGAUUUUUAAUUUUUCAUGAGCUCCGGUCAGGAUGUAAACUUGAUGUAGGAUCCCCUCUGUAUGCUGUAAGUUAAUAAAAAAGCUGCUUUGGGCCUAUUGCAGCACAGAAUAGGGCAAGGAGGACAUUCCAAACAGAAAGAAGAGGAAAGAGUAGGCAGAGUCAGGGAGAAGGCAUGUGGAGACAGACACCAGACGCUGGACACUGGAUGGAAUCUUACAGGUAGGCCACAGCCACGUGGUGAUACACAGAUUAAUAGAAACGGGUUAAUUUAAGAUAUAAGAGCUAGCCAAUAAAAAGAGUGAGCUAAUAGGCCAAGAAGUGUUGUAAUAAUUCAGUUUCUGUAUGAUUAUUUUGGGUCUGGGCAGCCGGAAACAAAUGAGCAGCCUCCGCCUACAUGAACUCAACAUGCUAAUUCAAGGUUGUCAGCCAACUUCCAGCCAACUGGCACCUGUGAUUAAACCUUCAGGCAUGCACUUUCCAGAGUUGCAGAGUCUUGUUUCUGUAAUGUCAACCAAGAUCCCAGAUGGAACUAAGAAAAGUCACACCUUCCUGGGGUCUUGAGACAGAUGGUGAACACACAGACCCACUAAGAUCCUGCAUGAGAGUCCAGCAGCCAGGGAUGGCAUGCUAUCUACUUUUGCAUAGCAACCAGUAGCAGCCAGGGCUGCAUAGCCUAAGCCAACACAAUAGAAAGGCACUAGUGGGCCGAUGUCCUAUGCUCUGUCACACCCCAAGUAUAGGAGGCUGUUUCCCAAAAGCUUAGCUUGGAGGACGAAGGUGAGGAGCUGUGUACUACAAAAGAAUCUAGAAUGUAUAACACUGGACAGAAGCCAGACUCAGACAACACGAACAUCUUGAGCCCAUUUAUAUAAAAGGUGUGUGCAUGCGUGCAUGCAUGCGUGUGUGUGUGUGUGUGUGUGUGUGUGUUUUGUGUAGGCCAGAAGACAACCUCAGGUGUUUUUCCUCAGACACUACGGACCUUGCUUUUUGAGACAGCAUCUCUUACUGAACCUGGAGGUCACCAAAUAGGAUAAGCUUGACCCCAGUGGCCCCCAGAUCUCUGCCUGUCUCUGUCUCUCCAGCACUAGUCUUGUAGAACUUACCACCACGCCCACCCUUGUUACAUGGGUUACGUGGAUUGAACUGCAUGCUUUCAAGGCAACAAAUCCACAGCAGACAGAGCAGCUCCCCCGCCCCACGCAUAUUAACAGUAUAUACAAAAAGACAAACCUGCUUCAGAAGAUAGAGAAAACAAAACCAGAAGACGAGUCUUUAGAUGAGGAGGGAGUGUCAUUAUUUGGAAGGUACCUUUUGGGGUAGGUGAGGGUCACAUCUUAUGAGCAAUCGCUAGGCACCGGUGACUCUUUAUGACUUACGUCUGUAAGUUUAAACCCCUUUAUUUAGACACAUAUGUCAUGUCACAAAAGUCUGUAAACGUGGAAUAGUGAGUGGUUAGGGAGAAAAUACAGACUGCCAUGUGCUUACUGCCCAAAGCCACCUCUGAAAACUUCUCGCUGUGUCUCCCUGCAAUCAAGAACAUAUCCCCCCCACCCCCCAUCUGUUUCACUCAUGGCCUGUGUCGAGUACAAUGGGGUGGCAGAGGGAGAGCUUUUGUUUGGUUGCCUUUCGGGAUUUUCCCUUGUAUUUGAA